GACGAAGGUGGCGAGCGUUGUUCGGAUUCACUGGGCAUAAAGGGCGCGUAGGCUGUUCCGCAAGCGGCUCGUGAAAUCCUCUGGCUCAACCAGAGACGUGCGGGCCGGACUGCGGUGCUAGAGGACGGUAGGGGAGAGUGGAACUCUCGGUGGAGCGGUGAAAUGCGUAGAUAUCGAGAGGAACACCGGUGGCGAAGGCGACUCUCUGGUCCGUCCCUGACGCUGAGGCGCGAAAGCGUGGGUAGCAAAC
rnacentral:rRNA from 1 species